AUACGUAGGUGGCAAGCGUUGUCCGGAUUUAUUGGGCGUAAAGCGAGCGCAGGUCGGUUUUUAAGUCUGAUGUGAAAGCCCUCGGCUUAACCGAGGAAGCGCAUCGGAAACUGGGAAACUUGAGUGCAGAAGAGGACAGUGGAACUCCAUGUGUAGCGGUGGAAUGCGUAGAUAUAUGGAAGAACACCAGUGGCGAAGGCGGCUGUCUAGUCUGUAACUGACGCUGAGGCUACGAAAGCAUGGGUAGC
rnacentral:rRNA from 1 species